rnacentral:rRNA from 1 species
AUUGAACGCUGGCGGCAUGCUUUACACAUGCAAGUCGAACGGUAACAGGGUGCUUGCACCGCUGACGAGUGGCGAACGGGUGAGUAAUGCGUCGGAACGUGCCGAGUAGUGGGGGAUAACGCAGCGAAAGUUGUGCUAAUACCGCAUACGUACUGAGGUAGAAAGUGGGGGACCUUCGGGCCUCACGCUAUUCGAGCGGCCGACGUCUGAUUAGCUAGUAGGUGAGGUAAAGGCUCACCUAGGCGACGAUCAGUAGCGGGUCUGAGAGGAUGAUCCGCCACACUGGGACUGAGACACGGCCCAGACUCCUACGGGAGGCAGCAGUAGGGAAUUUUGGACAAUGGGCGAAAGCCUGAUCCAGCCAUGCCGCGUGUCCGAAGAAGGCCUUCGGGUUGUAAAGGACUUUUGUCAGGGAGGAAAUCCCUAGUGCUAAUAACACUGGGGGAUGACAGUACCUGAAGAAUAAGCACCGGCUAACUACGUGCCAGCCGCCGCGGUAA